AUCCUUUUAUGGUUCUACUGGGGAAUGAUGAGUCGUGGGUUCGCACGCCUUGUGCGUGAUACGUGCCGCGCCCUUCCCUGUUACGACGACGGGCACGUAACCCUUCUGAC
rnacentral:snoRNA from 1 species